rnacentral:misc_RNA from 1 species
GGCCAAAACAGUGGAAAACCUACAUAAGAUGAUCAGAAGGAUAGUUCAGUACUCACAAGGAAAUUGAAUCUAUGAGUGAGGUUCACAGAGGAGAGGUUACAAAUAUAGGAAAAUCAGUGCUCUAUAAUGGCUAAAAUCACUCAAACCAUUCGCAAAUUUUUCUGUUACACUAACACAGAGUUUAUUCUUCAUUAGCACCAUUCGGACCAAUCAAGCAACAGACUGCAGGAAAAAUAUACUAAAUAAAGAUUACACUGAUGACCCCGAGGAUCAUCCAUACCUUAAAUUAACAAUAUUAUGCAAGUUUUUAUAUAACUUGUAUUCAAUUAUGGUUUUACAAUAUAUGCAUCAGCAUCAACAUAGUCAGAACAGCAGCAAAAGGAAGUUUACAGAUUACAAAAUCCCUUAGGGGAAAAAAAAAAGGAAGGGAAGACCAUCAUGAAAUUGGCAUAAUUGCUUUUAUUGUUAUUUGUAAUGCUAAAUUACUAGUAGUUGGUCUUCUUUUUUAUAGUCCCAAAACAGUUGGUAACUAUGACAUCCUCAUACAAAACAUAUUUUUUAAGUACAAAAGUAUAAAUAAAGACUUUCCUGGGGCCAUCUUCCGAUAAUUAUAAUAUAUAAUCCAUGGUUAUCAAACCCGGACCAGACCAACCAAGUACUCCGGUCAUUUCAAUGAAAAAAAAAAAAUUUC